rnacentral:rRNA from 1 species
UACGUAGGGCGCAAGCGUUGUCCGGAAUUAUUGGGCGUAAAGAGCUCGUAGGCGGCUUGUCACGUCGGGUGUGAAAGCCCCGGGGCUUAACCCCGGGUCUGCAUUCGAUACGGGCAGGCUAGAGUGUGGUAGGGGGAGAUCGGAAUUCCUGGUGUAGCGGUGAAAUGCGCAGAUAUCAGGAGGAACACCGGUGGCGAAGGCGGAUCUCUGGGCCAUUACUGACGCUGAGGAGCGAAAGCGUGGGGAGCGAACAGG